GCCAAGAUGAGGCCCGACAGGAGACUUGGUCAUGGAGAGGCUUUGUACCGGCAAAGGGAGCUGCUCCCCAAUUCACCACAAGGGCUAGCCAGCGGCAGCGAGCUGUAAGCGAGAGUAUUCAAGCAUGUGUUGGAACUGUAUCGAACGGACAUCCCUCCUGGCAUCACCGGUUGACAGUGGGGAGAGUGGAUCAAAACGGGGCAAAGUGGCUGGAGCUUUAGCCUCGCCCUCAGACACCGACGGGCUUACCGGAGCCGCAACAUCCCCUACAGGGGUAGUCAACUCAGGCAGCGGAAACACAAGCACCUGCUCUUCCAACAAAACAUUUAACAUCAGUUUCUUAACCUCCGCCUUAACUAAACUGUGCGAAAUAGACAAUGAAUAAUGGUCAGGUCAUUAAAAUCAAUUUUAUGACAUUUGUCAAACACCUCCCACGAAGGCUUAUCCAAAAAGGAUUUCACAUCAAAAGUAGCCAUCUUGAACUACUACACCAAAACACAAGAGCCAACCAAUAGCAAACACUAAUGCUUCAUCAGCUAUUAUGCUCAACACUGAACUAACCUCUACAAUAAGUUGCACGAGCGGCAUGGGUGUCAGUAAUGACAGAUCCCGGAUGAGCCCCCACUUAUGUUACAAAUCCCUUUGGCCCUGCAGUCUAGGGGGGAUGGCAACGAGACCCGUAACAUAACUCAUGCAAAUUAUAAUAGUGAUAAAGAACAGUGAGAACAAAAACCACAGACAACUGAAAUUUACCGUCAAACACUAAAGGUUUAUUUUUAAACACACGGUAAAGGGGUGUGAGAAAAGGGGCUGAGCUGGACCCAAGGAAAGAAACAAUAAUCCAAAAACACCCCUAAACUAGACUAGCCUACUUCAAUAACAGCUAGUUCUAACUAGUGUAUUUAGACAAUGUUUUCCUAGGUGUAAUGUAGGCCCAUGGGCGACUGGUCUGGUUACCCCCUUUUCCCACCAUCAAACAAACAGUCAAACAACAAAACAAUACUCACAGGAUAACCGGACAAAUGUAACAUGUAGGAGCAAAACAAGAGAGAGAGAGAGAGAAAGAGAAAGAGAAAGAGGAGAGCGAGAGAGAGGAGAGAGAGAGAGAAGGAGAGAGGCGAGAGGAGAGAGGAAAGGAAGAGAAGGAGAGAGAGAGAGCUGGUGACACAGAGAGAUUGGACACAGAGAGAUUGACCACAGAGGGAUUGACCACAGAGAGAGAUUGACCACAGAGAAGGGAUUGACCACAGAGAGUGAGAUUGAACUGUUUAGAAAACUACUGACUGGGUUUUUAAACCAAGGGAAAGGGAUGUGAUUGGUUGAGGGAAAAGGAGCAGGUGUCUUGGUUGGUGACUGAUUGGGGAAUGAUGAUUGUCACCUGUGAGGGGAGAAGGAGAGAAAAGAAACACACACGGGAUACAUACACAGGAUACCUGUAUCCGUAACAAGAACAAACGAAAGAUAUCUCCGUUUCAAGGUCUCAGCUUUGAGAGGAGAAGCCUCGUGAGGUGUUGGUCUGUCACAUGUUAUUAUGAAACAGUAUUGGUCAGUCACAUGAAUGAAAGAAAACACUAAUGAUUAAUUAAUUAUGCUAAAUCAUGCAAAUAGAAUUUUUCUGUGUAUUGCCGUAUAUAAGACAACUGCUGGGUCUGCCCAGCGAGAGCUCCUGAUUGACAUGUGUACUAUGGUGCCUUGAGUUGGUUGGAACCUCUCCAGCACACUGACAA
rnacentral:lncRNA from 1 species